GGGGAUUUGGCUCAGUGGUAGAGCGCCUGCCUAGCAAGCACAAGGCCCUGGGUUCGGUCCCCAGCUCCA
rnacentral:tRNA from 1 species